rnacentral:rRNA from 1 species
CCUACGGGCGGCAGCAGUCGAGAAUCAUUCACAAUGGGGGAAACCCUGAUGGUGCGACGCCGCGUGGGGGAAUGAAGGUCUUCGGAUUGUAAACCCCUGUCAUGUGGGAGCAAGUUAGAAAGAUAGUACCACAAGAGGAAGAGACGGCUAACUCUGUGACAGCAGCCGCGGUAAUACAGAGGUGUCAAGCGUUGUCCGGAAUUACUGGGCGUAAGGCGUGCGUAGGCUGUUUCGUAAGUCGUGUGUGAAAGGCGCGGGCUCAACCCGCGGACGGCACCGGAAACUGCGAGACUAGAGUAAUGGAGAGGGGACCGGAACUCUAGGUGUAGCAGUGAAAUGCGUAGAUAUAGAGAGGAACACUCGUGGCGAAGGCGGGUUCCUGGACAUUAACUGACGCUGAGGCACGAAGGCCAGGGGAGCGAAAGGGAUUAGAUACCCCGGUAGUC